GGGCUGGCGCGGCGCCGGGCCUGAGUCACACGCAUGAGGCAGCGUGAGUCAGGCGCGGAGGGAAGUCCCUACGGAAGGGGCUUUCGGGGCCGCAAUCGAAUCGCGAGGAAAGAGAAAGUGUUCGGAAGGCUCCUUUGACACAGUGACCUUGUGUGAGCCCGGGCCGGACACACCCCCACACCCUACCCGCAGACAACAACAUGAACAUGAACACCCCAGGCCCACGGCGGCCGAGGACUCUCACGCCAGCUCCCAGAGCAUAAAUCUUACACUCGCCUGAAGUGCACUCUGGUGAGCUGCCACCACUACCGUUAGUCACCAAAGAGGAACCCAUCCCGCCAAAGACCAAGAUGGUUGUCAGCUCCUGAUGACUAAACCUGAGACCAAAGAAGGGGGAGAAUCCCAAUGAUUGUUGGCAAAUUAUGAAAUCUAAAGCUAAGAUGGUGAACAACAGCUCAACCUGGAACUGGGCUGCUGU